UACAGAGGCCUCGAGCGUUAGGCGGAAUCACUGGGCGUAAAGCGCACGUAGGCGGAUCUUUAAGUCAGGGGUGAAAUCCCGAGGCUCAACCUCGGAACUGCCUUUGAUACUGGGGAUCUCGAGUCCGGGAGAGGUGAGUGGAACUGCGAGUGUAGAGGUGAAAUUCGUAGAUAUUCGCAAGAACACCAGUGGCGAAGGCGGCUCACUGGCCCGGAACUGACGCUGAGGUGCGAAAGCGUGGGGAGCAAACAGG
rnacentral:rRNA from 1 species